rnacentral:lncRNA from 1 species
CGUGCAAGCCCGGAGGCUUGCGUGUAGGUGGGCUGGCCGUCCCUCGCGUGUGUGUGAGUGUGAGUGACCGGGAGUGUGAGUGGGGGGGCGCUCUGGCCCUUCCCAGUGUGGGGCCCGCGGAGACACCGUUCGGGGGCUGCCCAGAGCCGCCCGGCUUUCUGGCUGCGGAGAAGGUUGUGGAGCCUGACGGGUCACUGACACCCGAAAAGGGAUACUGUGCUGGAUUUUGUCCGUGCGAUUCCUUCCAAGGCAGUGCCUGCAGCCAGCAUCAAAGUGGGCUGGGAAGAGGAUGAGUCUCCACCCAGCCGAGGCUCUGAGCCAUGCGUGGAUCCCUGAGCUGCUGAAGCAAGAGAAGUGCUGGGUCCCUGUCAUUGUCAUUUGCUGUGCAGCACUAGUGUGUGCGAGCCUCACCUGUGCUCGGCGUUGGAGGAAACAAAUCAUAAAAAGCACCGUCUCGAGGAUUUCUCGAGGAAUGCAGCAGCUUUUAUCAGUAGAAAGUAGGUGUGCAGACCCUGUGCCCAUGAGCCCAGCUCAGUCCUUUUGGCGGGGGGAUCGGGUGAGACCCUGAGAUUCUGUGCAAACCUCCACAGUUUGCCCAGAGCCUUUGUCAGAUUGCAGAGGGAUUUGCACCCUCGAAAACAUUACCGCCACUGACUUGGAAGAGGGCCCAAGACAAGCCUGUGAACAUGGAGACGAGCAGCGAGCUGGAC